rnacentral:piRNA from 1 species
UGAUGCCCCCUCCCCACAGUGCUCAGGAGAC